rnacentral:misc_RNA from 1 species
AAUUCUCAACCUCUCUAGUUUUCAUUAACUAGUAGAUGGCUUGGAUGUGGGGGUUUAUUUUGCUGGCUUUCACAAGUCAGCUCCCCUUAAAUGAAUUAGCCGGUGCCCUCUAACCGUCUAUUGGUGUGAUAAUUAUCUACGCCGUGGACUAUUAGACUUGGUUGCAUUGCUUCUAACUGUCCUCUAUGGACAAUAUAAUGACA